ACGCACGUGUGAAACUUGAAGGAAUUGACGGAAGGGCACCACAAGAACGCGUGGAGCAUGUGGCUUAAUUUGACCCAACGCGGGAAAUCUUACCGGGUCCGGACACACUGAGGAUUGACAGGCAAUAUUAGCACUUUCACAAUUUAUUGUGUGGUGUUAUGUUAAAUAUGCUAGUCCUUUCAUGAUUAUGUGAUAGGUGGUGCAUGGCCGUUCUUAGUUCGUGGAGUGAUCUGUCUGCUUAAUUGCGUUUCACCAAGGGCCUAUAAUUUUACGUGUGUUGCGGCACUUUGACCCCUCCUUUUUUAAAGGAGCGCGUGUCUUAGUUUGCUUAGCUCGCACAAUUAGGUCCUGAAAGCAACGAACGUGACCG
rnacentral:rRNA from 1 species